GCCGGUGUAGCUCAGCUGGCUAGAGCGCCAGAUUCAUAACCUGGAGGUCGAGAGUUCAAGUCUCUCCACCGGCA
rnacentral:tRNA from 5 species